rnacentral:rRNA from 1 species
AUUGAACGCUGGCGGCAGGCCUAACACAUGCAAGUCGAGCGGUAGAGAGAAGCUUGCUUCUCUUGAGAGCGGCGGACGGGUGAGUAAUGCCUAGGAAUCUGCCUGGUAGUGGGGGAUAACGUUCGGAAACGGACGCUAAUACCGCAUACGUCCUACGGGAGAAAGCAGGGGACCUUCGGGCCUUGCGCUAUCAGAUGAGCCUAGGUCGGAUUAGCUAGUUGGUGAGGUAAUGGCUCACCAAGGCGACGAUCCGUAACUGGUCUGAGAGGAUGAUCAGUCACACUGGAACUGAGACACGGUCCAGACUCCUACGGGAGGCAGCAGUGGGGAAUAUUGGACAAUGGGCGAAAGCCUGAUCCAGCCAUGCCGCGUGUGUGAAGAAGGUCUUCGGAUUGUAAAGCACUUUAAGUUGGGAGGAAGGGCAGUUACCUAAUACGUGAUUGUUUUGACGUUACCGACAGAAUAAGCACCGGCUAACUCUGUGCCAGCAGCCGCGGUAAUACAGAGGGUGCAAGCGUUAAUCGGAAUUACUGGGCGUAAAGCGCGCGUAGGUGGUUAGUUAAGUUGGAUGUGAAAUCCCCGGGCUCAACCUGGGAACUGCAUUCAAAACUGACUGACUAGAGUAUGGUAGAGGGUGGUGGAAUUUCCUGUGUAGCGGUGAAAUGCGUAGAUAUAGGAAGGAACCACCCCAGUGGCGAAGGCGACCCCCCCUGGACUGAUACU